CGCGGUGGCGGCGGCGGCGCGAGUCUUCGCUGCUUCCGCGGCGCGCCGGGACUACGCUGCGGAAUGGUGUGGUGGCUCGAUUCUCCCAGUGCCUGGCUGAGUUUCGGACGUGGUUAAGAACCAACUGGUUGAGGUUCAAUGCAGACAAGACGGAUGUGAUGCUGAAAAUGUGCAUCAGAUGUUUAUGUUUAAUUGGUUUACAGACUGUCUCUGGAUUCUUUUCCUGUCAAAUUACAAGCCAUCUGUUGAGUCUUCAAGUCCAGAAAUGGAUGAAAUGUUUGCCUGCCCAUGAAGGUACAGGGGGCUCAGCAGCGUCAGAGGACCAUGAGUUUGAUCCG
rnacentral:lncRNA from 1 species